rnacentral:rRNA from 1 species
CCUACGGGAGGCAGCAGUCGAGAAUUAUUCACAAUGGGGGAAACCCUGAUGGUGCGACGCCGCGUGGGGGAAUGAAGGUCUUCGGAUGGUAAACCCCUGUCAUGUGGGGGCAAAUUAAAAAGAUAGUACCACAAGAGGAAGAGGCGGCUAACUCUGGUCCAGCCGCCGCGGUAAUUCGGAGGUCUCAAGGGUUUUUGGGAGGCACUGGGCGUAAAGCGUGCGUAGGCCGUUUCGUAAGUCGGGUGGGAAAGGCGGGGGCUUAACCCGCGGAUGGCAUAUGAUACUGGUCGACUAGAGUAAUGGAGGGGGAAGUAGAAUUCUAGGUGUAGCAGUGAAAUGCGGAGAUAUCGAGAGGAACACUGGUGGCGAAGGCGGGUCCCUGGACAUAAACUGACGCUGAGGCACGAAGGCCAGGGGAGCGAAAGGGAUUAGAUACCCGAGUAGUC